UACGUAGGGCGCAAGCGUUGUCCGGAAUUAUUGGGCGUAAAGAGCUCGUAGGCGGUCUGUCGCGUCGGAUGUGAAAGCCCGGGGCUUAACCCCGGGUCUGCAUUCGAUACGGGCAGACUAGAGUGUGGUAGGGGAGAUCGGAAUUCCUGGUGUAGCGGUGAAAUGCGCAGAUAUCAGGAGGAACACCGGUGGCGAAGGCGGGUUGCUGGGCCGACACUGACGCUGAUGCGCGAAAGCCAGGGGAGCGAACGGG
rnacentral:rRNA from 1 species